GCUGCCAUAAUUCUCUGCUAUCUCAGCCUAACAAGGGGGGAUGACUGUCACGAGGAAAGCAAAGAGGGGUGGGAAUCUGCUCAUCUUGAUAUCAAGACAACGAGUAGACAGCUACAGUAGUGUGGCGUCAGGCCGGAGAGCUGGCCCUAAUAUGUGACGUCAAACAUCCCACCGGUGGGAUGAAAGAAGUGGACCGGUUCCGCCCCCGUCCUGGUGGUCAGGUCCGUCGGUUAAACAGUUCCAACAUCGCUUACAGACAGGGGCUCCUCCGCCUCUCUAUCCUCCUGCUUGGGGACGUCCAGCCGGUCUAUGAAGCUCUGCAGCUCUUUCCUGAAGGCUUUCAUCUGGGCAUUGAUACGAUACAGAAGCUCAUGCUCUCUAAUCCUGUGGAGCAGAAGUAGAUCUGGCGAACAGCUCCCCGUUGGUGACGUAUACCCGGGCCUCUGCGAUGAUAGUGCUGGUGUCAGCGAUAAGCCUAUCGAUGGUCCGGCCCAGCCUCUCCGCUUCGAUGCGGAUGUCUAUCAUCUGUUGCCGGUCCUUCAGGCUUCUGGAUAAAAAACGACUAUCCACGGGGCCCUCGCGUUUGCGGUGGGGCGGGAGGAGACGAGGGGAGGAAGCCGAGGCCGAGGGGGUGUCAUCAUCCCGACCUCCGUCACUCUCUGCGUCACUGUCCCGAGGGCUGCCACGGAUGCCCAGGUGGGAUGCAAGGUCG